AACUUGCUCCACCUGUGUUUGUCCAAGGGGAUGUUACAGAAGUCCCAUGGCAGCCCUUCCCUGGAGGUCCAGUGGUUAAGACUCACUCUGCACUUCCACUGCAGGGGACACAGGUUCAAGGUUCAAUCUCUAGUCGGGGAACUAAUAUCCCACAUGCUAUGCAACUCGGCCAAAAUAAGUAAGCAAAUAAUCGCACACGUGUGCUUAGUCAUGGCUGACUCUGCGACCUUAUGGUGGCAUAUGUAGCCCACCAGGCUCUCUUGUCCAUGGGAUUUUGCAGACAAGAAUACUAGAGUGGGUUGCCAUUUUCUUCUCCAGGGUAUCUUCCUGACCCAGGGAUUGAACCCAUGUCUUCUGUGUCUCCUGUAUUGCAGGCAGAUUCUUUACCACUUGAGCCAUCAGGGAAGCCCAAGUAAAUAAAUAAGUAGAUAUGUAAGUAGGUCCUGUGGGAUCAGUGUGCAUAGCCAGAAACAACAAUCUAAUCUAGAAUAGGGAUUUACAUGUAAUGUGGUUGCCAGAAGCCCCACAACCUACCCCAGAGUGCUGUUUCCUUUCAAAGGCAUUAGAGCCGUAGUCUUGAUGUCAAGUCAGCCUGAUUCAGUAAGGCAGUUUGGGUGCAGUUUAGAAGUCAGGUAAACAGUUUCCUAUCUGAAAAAAAACAGUACCUGGACGCCUACUUGGCACUAGACCCUAUGUGAGCUGCUAGACCAACAAAGGUUUUUUGGUGAUGGCCAUUCUGAUCAGUGUGAGGUGAUACUUCUGAAGGAGACAAGGGUUCGAUCCUUGAUCUGGGAAAAUCCCGCAUGCCACGGAGCAGCUAAGCCGGUGCGCCGCAACUAUUGAGCCCGUGCUCCAGAGCCCAGGGACCACAACUGCUGAGCCCAGGUGCCCCCACUACCGAAGCUGUGUGCCCUAGAGCUGGUGCUCUGCAACAACAGAAGCCACUGCAGUGAGAAGCCUGAGCACCGCAGCUACAGAAAAGCCUGCAUGGCCACGAAGACCCAGCACAGCCCCAAAUAAAUACUUUUUUAACAAGGUGACACCAGUUGGAUCCCUGAUCUGGGAAGAUCCCACAUGCCAUGGAGCAGCUAAGCCGGUGCGCCACAGUUGUUGAGCCUGUGCUCUAAAGCCCGGGAGCCACAACUACCGAGCCCAUGUGCCACAACUACUGAAGCCUGUACACCCUAGAGCCUGUGCUCUGCAACAAGAGAAGCCGCUGCAACGAGAAGCCCACGCAGUGAAACUAGAGUAGCCCCUGCUCGCUGCAACUAGAGAAAGGCCACCCACAGCAGAAAAAAACUAACAGAGCCAAAAAUAAAAAUUAAUUUAAAAAAAUCUACACACAAUCGAAUGUAUCACUCUUUUUCUUGAUGCCUCUUCUUUUUGUGGCAUAAAAGUGUUCGUUUUUAUCUUGACCUUUUCUGCAGCUUCCUACUCACUUGUUAAUUUAUUGUCUCCUGCCCAUAAAUUCAUUGCUUCUGCCUAAGUUAACCAAAGUUAGUUUUCUGUUGGUCCUGUUAGAACCAAG
ensembl:lncRNA